rnacentral:rRNA from 1 species
AGCGAACGCUGGCGGCAGGCCUAACACAUGCAAGUCGAACGAACUCUUCGGAGUUAGUGGCGGACGGGUGAGUAACACGUGGGAACGUGCCUUUAGGUUCGGAAUAACUCAGGGAAACUUGUGCUAAUACCGAAUGUGCCCUUCGGGGGAAAGAUUUAUCGCCUUUAGAGCGGCCCGCGUCUGAUUAGCUAGUUGGUGAGGUAAAGGCUCACCAAGGCGACGAUCAGUAGCUGGUCUGAGAGGAUGAUCAGCCACAUUGGGACUGAGACACGGCCCAAACUCCUACGGGAGGCAGCAGUGGGGAAUCUUGCGCAGUGGGCGAAAGCCUGACGCAGCCAUGCCGCGUGAAUGAUGAAGGUCUUAGGAUUGUAAAAUUCUUUCACCGGGGACGAUAAUGACGGUACCCGGAGAAGAAGCCCCGGCUAACUUCGUG